rnacentral:rRNA from 1 species
GGACUACCGGGGUUUCUAAUCCUGUUUGCUCCCCUAGCUUUCGUUCCUCAGCGUCAGUAGUGGUCCAGCGCGCCGCUUUCGCCACGGGUGUUCCUGCAGAUAUCUACGCAUUUCACCGCUACACCUGCAAUUCCACGCGCCUCUCCCACACUCGAGCACAGCAGUUUCGGAAGCAGGUUCUGAGUUAAGCCCAGAAAUUUCACUCCCGACUUGCCACACCGCCUACGAACCCUUUACACCCAGUAAUUCCGAACAACGCUGGCCCCCUACGUCUUACCGCGGCGGCUGGCAC